rnacentral:misc_RNA from 1 species
GGAAUAUUGGACAAUGGGCGAAAGCCUGAUCCAGCCAUGCCGCGUGAGUGAUGAAGGCCCUAGGGUUGUAAAGCUCUUUCACCGGUGAAGAUAAUGACGGUAACCGGAGAAGAAGCCCCGGCUAACUUCGUGCCAGCAGCCGCGGUAAUACGAAGGGGGCUAGCGUUGUUCGGAAUUACUGGGCGUAAAGCGCACGUAGGCGGAAUGUUUAGUCAGGGGUGAAAUCCCGGGGCUCAACCCCGGAACUGCCUUUGAUACUGGCAUUCUCGAGUCCGGAAGAGGUGAGUGGAAUUCCGGGUGUAGAGGUGAAAUUCGUAGAUAUUCGGAGGAACACCAGUGGCGAAGGCGGCUCACUGGUCCGGUACUGACGCUGAGGUGCGAAAGCGUGGGGAGCAAACAGGA